rnacentral:misc_RNA from 1 species
AAGAGUCCUCGAAAGGCCGCGUAGGCACGUAAGUACUUGGCUUUCAUUCUUCUUUACUGGCACACGUACGCAUUCUCGCUCCGUUACGCUUCACAGCUCUUCUUUUCUCCUUUUUCCUUGCCGCAGCGCCUCUUCACUCUCCGCUCUCGCGCUUCACACAAUGGAGGAGAGAGAUCUGCCCAUCACAGAUGAUCACAGGAAGCUCGUCUUCUCCUUCAUCCGGAUGAUACGCCGGUCGCAGGUCGAGAACCCCGAGCGCGCUGAGGCGGUGGCGCAGAUGCUUGGUGAGGAGUUCGGCGUCGACCCGGCUGGCAGCGGCGGUCUGCACGACACGGAGGUGGACGUGCUGGAGGCCUUCAAGACAGCGCUGCGCGAGCACGAGCGUCGCAGCGGCGUCGAGCAGGACGAAAAAUUCGUAUGCUUUGUGGAGCUGCUGGAGAAGAAGGGCUAUUUCAAGGGCGUCGAGAAAGGCUCCGACGAAUACGCGCAGCGGCUGGAGAAGGCGCGCGAGAAGUUUAACCAGCGCAACAACCCUUAUGAGGGCCUCACAGCGGAGCAGAUUAAGAACAAGGGCAACGAGUUGAUGAGCCAGGCCAAGUACAAGGAGGCGAUCGCGUACUACACUAAGGCGAUUGAGCUACAGCCGGACAACGCCGUCUUCUUCGCAAACCGCGCCGCGGCUCACACGCACCUCAAGGACUACAACAACGCUAUCAUUGACUGCGAGCGCGCCAUCAUCAUCAACCCCGAGUACUCGAAGUCGUACUCCCGCCUGGGAACGGCUCUCUUCUACCAGGAGAAUUACAGCCGCGCUGUCGACGCCUUCACCAAGGCGUGCGAGCUCGACCCCGACAAUGCCACCCACAAGGAGGACCUUAAGCGCGCGGAGGAGAAGGCGAAGGCGACUGCCCUCAGCACGGGCGGCGGUAUGGGCGGCUUCCCGGGCAUGGGCGGCUUUCCCGAGAUGGGUGGCAUGCCGGACAUGAGCCAGUUCGCGAACAUGAUGAGCAACCCGCAGUUCAUGGAGACGGCGCAGCGCAUGAUGCAGAAUCCCGAGUUUAGCAACCUGGUUGCCAACAUGGCGAGCAAGUUCAGCCAGGGCGGCAUGGACCCAGCGGAGCUGAACCGCCUCGGUGCCGACAUGGGCAUGCGCAACGUGGACGAGGAGGGCAAUGUUGUAACGCCGUUCGGCAAGGUGAACCGUGCCGCCAUCGAGCAGCUGCAGGAGGAGGAGGUGCGUAAGAACCCGAAGCUGGCGGGCAUCAUGGCGGAUGUGCAAGCCAACGGCUACGGCGCCUUCCAGAAGUAUCUCGGUGACCCCGAUGUCAUGAAUCUGAUGAUGAAGUUCCAGAACCUCAUGUUUACGAACCCGAAUAGGAGUCCUUGAUAAUGAAAAGGGAAAACAACAACAGAAAGACAUAUAUCUGGAAAGAGACGAGUUUCCAGGGAUGGCGCACAUGCGACUCUGUAUGCUGGCGGUUCUCCUCGACGUGUGGCUCCUACUCAUUUUUUCCCUUGCUCGUGGUCUUGCUGAAUGCAUUUUUUUAUUUUGUACGUGUGCUUGCUCGACGUGUGUUCUUUCGUUUAGGUGCUCCUAUAUCCCUCUCCCUUGGACGUGUCUGCACGUGCACACACCAGCAGAAAAGCGUUCGACCGUCCCGUCGCCCGCCUCGCUCUAUAUUCGACGCCGUCUCUGUUCUCGCUCAUUGUUGUUUUCUUUCGUUGUCGAACAUCAUUCUUAUUUGGAGCUCUUGUGCUUGUUGCUAUCGUUUUGUUGUCGAUGCUCGCGCCCACAUUAUGUGCUGUGUCGGACCUCUAAUUAAAAGAAUGGGGUGCACGCAAAGCACAGCCGCGUCAAUCAACACACGCGCAAACUAAGUGACAGACGGACGCGGGCGGGUUGUGUCCCUACCCCCAAUGAUUGGCAUCCUCCUCAUUAUUCGUCACCGCGCUCUACGCUGUUGGUUAGUGUAAGAAGUGUUUCCUGUGCUUUUUAAAGUGUUCCUUUCACAAAGGGUGGCCAUAGAAAU